GACGAACGCUGGCGGCGUGCUUAACACAUGCAAGUCGAACGGAAAGGCCCCUUUGUGGGUACUCGAGUGGCGAACGGGUGAGUAACACGUGAGUAACCUGCCCUUGACUUCGGGAUAACUUCAUUUAACUGGGUCUAAUACCGGAUAGGAAUCCUUGCUGCUUGGUGUGGGUUGGAAAGCUUCGUCGAUUUUGGAUGUACCGUCGGCUUAUUAGCUUGUUGGUUGGGUAGUGGCUUACCAAGGCUUUGACGGGUAGCCGGCCUGAGAGGGCGACCGGCCACAUUGAACCUGAGCUAGGGCCAAGAAGCCUACGGGAGGAAGAGGUGGGGAAUAUUACACAAUGAGAGGGAGCCAGAGGCAGCAAUGCCGCGUGCGGGAUGACGGCCUUCGGGUUGUAAACGGAUAUCAGCAGGGGCGAAGCUUGUGGUGACGGUACCUGAAGAAGAAGCACCGGCUAACUACGUG
rnacentral:rRNA from 1 species